AAAAAAACAAACCCUGAGUUUCUGUGUCCAACGCUUGACCGUCCGUCUUAUUUAAAAAAAUUAUAAAAAAAUUUAAAAAGACAAGUCACGCAUAAAGUAUUAAACAUGUUUUAUCAUCUAAGAACAAUGAAAAUACUAAUUAUAAAAAAAAGUUUAUAUAAAACGGACAGUCAAACAUUGGACACGGAAAAUUAGGGUUUGUCUUUUU
rfam:Oryza rufipogon genomic scaffold, chr03